ACGAGAUAUAACAUUUCAGUUUGUUUCCGGCAUUCCCGAUAGCACACAAGCCAAAUCAAUAUAAAUGUGAUGGGCAUGUCAAAACCGUCAAGUCAAAAAUAAUGCUAAAACCCUAACAGGCAGACAAAGACUGAGAGUAGGAAGAAGACUAAAAGAAAAACCGCAAAAUUGAAAAUACAUCAAAGUUGUCUGCGGCAAGGCAACGAAAACAACAACAACGACAACGACAACAACAACAACAACAACAACAGCAGUAGCAAGAACAGGAGCUGAGAAAUCAUAAAGAAAUAUGCUUUGAGACCGGAGGACGAACAACAAGCGAACAUAUUCAAUAACGAGAGAUGUCAAAAAGCCAUCAUAAACAGAUGACAUUUCCCAUAUUGAGUGGCGAAAGUAAAAUUUAAUAAUAAUACGGAAUACACCGACGGCGACAGCAACAGCGACAGCGACAGCAACGAGUCAAAGUCGGGCCUGUUAUACGAGACGGCUGGCACUACUACGAGGCGGAUUGGCGCACCGGCGGACAGGCGGACUGGCAGACGGGCGGACGGGCGGACGGAUAGGCGGGGCAGGCAACACGUCAACAACGAAAAUUGACACGCCGACAUAAACACUCACACAUGUUUGGGCUACGACGGCCUCUGUCUCUGUCUGCGACUUGGGAGCCGGGACCCGGGGUAAGGCCGGGGCUCCCUGCCGUGCGGAAUGUAUAGCAAAAAUGUCAAUAUGUUGUUGGGGUUGUCAGGCCUGUCAUGUCACACUGGCGCUUGGCAGCCCCUGCUCCGGACGCGGCCCAAAGCCGCCGUAAUGCUAAACGUGCCUUAGUUUCAUGCAUGAAUGUUUGUGGCACAUAAUUGAAAGCUAGCUAAAUUAAUUUCAAUGUGAGGCGCCAAAAACGACAUCCAACAAACGAACCUAGCCAGCUUAUAGCAACCGGUCCGUCGGUCGGUCUGUCUGUCGGUCGGUCGCUCGGUCGCUCGGCUGGCCGAACUCCUUGCCCCAUUCUCUUUGAGUCGCAACUAACUUUUCACACAUGACUGCUGCGUGUUUGCGGUGUGAAGGGGUCACGUAGGGCAGCUCGUUAACAGGAGCUUCACAGCUAGUUAGAAGUCACCUCAUCAUCGUCGACGUCGUCGUCAUCGUCAGCGUCAGCGUCAGCGUUUGCGUUUGUACAUUUUCCAUGACAUUUUUGACAGCUUUCGUCUAGCAUGCAACAAACCCACAAAACAGUUUGUAAACGCUCCGCCCUGCCCUGCCCUUCGGACACCUAACGCCAAUUUAACAUACGACGUUUAUCAAUGACAUUUUGGUCAACUCGGGUAAUGGCAAAUGGCAUUGAUUUAAAUCAGUUUUGGCCUUGUGGUUUUUGACCGGAAUCGAACUAAUAAGUGCCAUCCUCGGCGCCAUUUCCGGUGUGUAAUACCCUGUAUCAUAGAAAUAUAAAUCAUUUUUGUUGAUUGGA